CCUACGGGAGGCAGCAGUGGGGAAUUUUGGACAAUGGGCGCAAGCCUGAUCCAGCCAUGCCGCGUGCGGGAAGAAGGCCUUCGGGUUGUAAACCGCUUUUGUCAGGGAAGAAAAGGUUCUGGCUAAUACCUGGGACUCAUGACGGUACCUGAAGAAUAAGCACCGGCUAACUACGUGCCAGCAGCCGCGGUAAUACGUAGGGUGCAAGCGUUAAUCGGAAUUACUGGGCGUAAAGCGUGCGCAGGCGGUUAUGCAAGACAGAGGUGAAAUCCCCGGGCUCAACCUGGGAACUGCCUUUGUGACUGCAUAGCUAGAGUACGGUAGAGGGGGAUGGAAUUCCGCGUGUAGCAGUGAAAUGCGUAGAUAUGCGGAGGAACACCGAUGGCGAAGGCAAUCCCCUGGACCUGUACUGACGCUCAUGCACGAAAGCGUGGGGAGCAAACAGGAUUAGAUACCCAGGUAGUCCACGCCCUAAACGAUGUCAACUGGUUGUUGGGAGGGUUUCUUCUCAGUAACGUAGCUAACGCGUGNGUGCGCGNGGAGAGCGCGAGUAGAGACAGAGUAGAGNGNGNGAGNGCGACGACGACGACGAGGAGGAGG
rnacentral:rRNA from 1 species